GACGAACGCUGGCGGCGUGCUUAACACAUGCAAGUCGUACGGUAAGGCCCUUUCGGGGGUCCACGAGUGGCGAACGGGUGAGUAACACGUGAGUAACCUGCCCACAACUUUGGGAUAAUGCUAGGAAACUGGUGCUAAUACUGGAUAUGUGCUCCUGCUGCAUGGUGGGGGUUGGAAAGCUCCGGCGGUUGUGGAUGGACUCGCGGCCUAUCAGCUUGUUGGUGGGGUAGUGGCCUACCAAGGCGGCGACGGGUAGCCGGCCUGAGAGGGUGACCGGCCACAUUGGGACUGAGAUACGGCCCAGACUCCUACGGGAGGCAGCAGUGGGGAAUAUUGCACAAUGGGCGCAAGCCUGAUGCAGCAACGCCGCGUGCGGGAUGACGGCCUUCGGGUUGUAAACCGCUUUCAGCAGGGACGAAGCUUUUUGUGACGGUACCUGCAGAAGAAGCACCGGCUAACUACGUG
rnacentral:rRNA from 1 species